CCUACGGGUGGCAGCAGUGAGGAAUAUUGGUCAAUGGCCGGAAGGCUGAACCAGCCAUGCCGCGUGAAGGUCAGUGCCCUAUGGGCGUUAAACUUCUUUUGUGCGGGAGCAAUAAUGGUCACGUGUGGCCAGACGAGAGUACCGUACGAAUAAGCAUCAGCUAACUCCGUGCCAGCAGCCGCGGUCAUACGGGGGAUGCAAGCGUUAUCCGGAUUUAUUGGGGUUAAAGGGGGCGUAGGCUGUGAGGUAAGUCAGCGGUGAAAUGCCCCCGCUCAACGGGGUGAAGUGCCAUUGAUACUGCCUUGCUGGAAUGCGGAUGCGGUGGGAGGAAUGUGUGGUGUAGCGGUGAAAUGCAUAGAUAUCACACAGAACACCGAUUGCGAAGGCAUCUCACGAAUCCGCGAUUGACGCUGAUGCACGAAAGCGUGGGUAUCAAACAUGAUUAGAUACCCUUGUAGUC
rnacentral:rRNA from 1 species